rnacentral:rRNA from 2 species
AAAACUUUCAACAACGGAUCUCUUGGUUCUGGCAUCGAUGAAGAACGCAGCGAAAUGCGAUAAGUAAUGUGAAUUGCAGAAUUCAGUGAAUCAUCGAAUCUUUGAACGCACAUUGCGCUCCCUGGCAUUCCGGGGAGCAUGCCUGUUCGAGCGUCAUUA